CCUACGGGAUGCAGCAGUGAGGAAUAUUGGUCAAUGGACGAGAGUCUGAACCAGCCAAGUAGCGUGAAGGAUGACUGCCCUAUGGGUUGUAAACUCCUUUUAUAUGGGAAUAAAAUGUUCCACGUGUGGGAUUUUGUAUGUACCAUAUGAAUAAGGAUCGGCUAACUCCGUGCCAGCAGCCGCGGUAAUACGGAGGAUCCGAGCGUUAUCCGGAUUUAUUGGGUUUAAAGGGAGCGUAGGUGGAUUGUUAAGUCAGUUGUGAAAGUUUGCGGCUCAACCGUAAAAUUGCAGUUGAAACUGGCAGUCUUGAGUACAGUAGAGGUGGGCGGAAUUCGUGGUGUAGCGGUGAAAUGCUUAGAUAUCACGAAGAACUCCGAUUGCGAAGACAGUUCACUGGACUGCAACUGACACUGAGGCUCGAAAGUGUGGGUAUCAAACAGGAUUAGAUACCCGGGUAGUC
rnacentral:rRNA from 1 species